rfam:Pteropus alecto contig162569, whole genome shotgun sequence.
GGUUCCUUAGUGUAGCAGUUAGCACGUCUGCUUUACACGCAGAAAGUCCUGAGUUCAUGACACAGUGGAGCCA